rnacentral:rRNA from 1 species
GAAUUUUGGACAAUGGGCGAAAGCCUGAUCCAGCAAUGCCGCGUGCAGGAUGAAGGCCUUCGGGUUGUAAACUGCUUUUGUACGGAACGAAAAGCUUUGGGUUACUAACCCGGAGACCUGACGGUACCGUAAUAAUAAGAACCGGCUCAAUACAUGACAGCAGCCGCGGUAAUACGGAGGGUGCAAGCGUUAAUCGGAAUUAAUGGGCGUAAAGCGUGCUCAGGCGGUUGUGUAAGACAGAGGUGAAAUCCCCGGGCUCAACCUGGGAACUGCCUUUGUGACUGCAAGGCUAGAGUACGGCCGAGGGGGGUGGAAUUCCGCGUGUAGCAGUGAAAUGCGUAGAUAUGCGGAGGAACACCGAUGGCGAAGGCAACCCCCUGGGCCUGUACUGACGCUCAUGCACGAAAGCGUGGGGAGCAAACA